AGAUCAGACUGUCUCAUGAGUAUUAGGAUU
rnacentral:piRNA from 1 species